rnacentral:rRNA from 1 species
CCUACGGGUGGCAGCAGUGAGGAAUAUUGGUCAAUGGACGAGAGUCUGAACCAGCCAAGUAGCGUGAAGGAUGACUGCCCUAUGGGUUGUAAACUUCUUUUAUAUGGGAAUAAAACAGGGUAUGCAUACCCUCUUUUAUGUACCAUAUGAAUAAGGAUCGGCUAACUCCGUGCCAGCAGCCGCGGUAAUACGGAGGAUCCGAGCGUUAUCCGGAUUUAUUGGGUUUAAAGGGAACGUAGGUGGAUUGUUAAGUCAGUUGUGAAAGUUUGCGGCUCAACCGUAAAAUUGCAGUUGAAACUGGCAGUCUUGAGUACAGUAGAGGUGGACGGAAUUCGUGGUGUAGCGGUGAAAUGCUUAGAUAUCACGAAGAACUCCGAUUGCGAAGGCAGCUCACUGGACUGCAACUGACACUGAUGCUCGAAAGUGUGGGUAUCAAACAGGAUUAGAUACCCUGGUAGUC